rnacentral:tRNA from 1 species
UGGCCGUUUUGCUGAGGACCGGCAAGCCGAGUUUUUCGUACAGGAUCACGCCCAAUUGCUUGGGCGAGCCGAGGUUGAACUCUUCGCCGGCGAU